CUGAAGUCCGCGGAGGAUCCACUCAGCACACGGCUCAAAACCCAGACAGUGUGGGAAGAAAGAAAGGGCUUCACUGUCCGAGGACCUGGAUUCCAUUCCCACCACGCAUCCAUCGUGGCUGAUGGCCCUACAACCCCAGUUACAAGGGAUCUGCCACCCUCUCCUGGCUAAGGUGGACACUGGAUGCAUACGGCACACAGACACACCUGCAAUCAGAGCACCUGUGCACAUAAAAACUGCUCUUUAAAAAGAACCUCAUUUCGGAAUGCUAAGAUGGC